GAUGAACGCUGGCGGCGUGCCUAAUACAUGCAAGUCGAGCGAACAGACGAGGAGCUUGCUCCUCUGACGUUAGCGGCGGACGGGUGAGUAACACGUGGAUAACCUCCCUAUAAGACUGGGAUCACUUCGGGAAACCGGCGCUAAUCCCGGAUAAUAUAUUGAACCGCAUGGUUCAAUAGUGAAAUACGGUUUUUCUGUCACUUCUCGCUGCUUCCGCGCCGCAUUAGCUAGUUGGUAAGGUAACGGCUUACCAAGGCGACGAUGCGUAGCCGACCUGAGAGGGGGAUAGGCCACACGGGAAGGGAGACACGGACCAGAGGACUAAGGGAGGCAGCAGUAGGGAAUGGGACGCAAUGGGCGAAAGCAUGACGGAGCAACGGCGCGUGAGUGAUGAAGGUGUUCGGAUCGUAAAACUCGGUUAUGAGGGAAGAACAAAUGUGGAAGGAAAUAUGCACGGAGUGACGGUAACUAAUAAGAAAGCCACGGCUAACUACGUG
rnacentral:rRNA from 1 species